rnacentral:rRNA from 1 species
GGUUAAGCGACUAAGCGUACACGGUGGAUGCCCUGGCAGUCAGAGGCGAUGAAGGACGUGCUAAUCUGCGAAAAGCGACGGCGAGGUGAUAUGAACCCUUGACCCGUCGAUGUCCGAAUGGGGAAACCCAGUGCAAUCCGUUGCACUAUCGUUAACUGAAUACAUAGGUUAACGAGGCGAACCGGGGGAACUGAAACAUCUAAGUACCCCGAGGAAAAGAAAUCAACCGAGAUUCCCCCAGUAGCGGCGAGCGAACGGGGAGCAGCCCGGAGUCUGAAUCAGCUUGUGUGUUAGUGGAACGGUCUGGAAAGUCCGACGGUACAGGGUGAUAGUCCCGUACACGAAAGCACACAUGCUGUGAACUCGAAGAGUAGGGCGGGACACGUGGUAUCCUGUCUGAAUAUGGGGGGACCAUCCUCCAAGGCUAAAUACUCCUGACUGACCGAUAGUGAACCAGUACCGUGAGGGAAAGGCGAAAAGAACCCCGGCGAGGGGAGUGAAAAAGAACCUGAAACCGUGUACGUACAAGCAGUGGGAGCCUCUUUUAUGGGGUGACUGCGUACCUUUUGUAUAAUGGGUCAGCGACUUAUAUUCUGUAGCAAGGUUAACCGUAUAGGGGAGCCGAAGGGAAACCGAGUCUUAACUGGGCGUUAAGUUGCAGGGUAUAGACCCGAAACCCGGUGAUCUAGCCAUGGGCAGGUUGAAGGUUGGGUAACACUAACUGGAGGACCGAACCGACUAAUGUUGAAAAAUUAGCGGAUGACCUGUGGCUGGGGGUGAAAGGCCAAUCAAACCGGGAGAUAGCUGGUUCUCCCCGAAAGCUAUUUAGGUAGCGCCUCGUGAACUCAUCUUCGGGGGUAGAGCACUGUUUCGGCUAGGGGGCCAUCCCGGCUUACCAACCCGAUGCAAACUACGAAUACCGAAGAAUGUUAUCACGGGAGACACACGGCGGGUGCUAACGUCCGUCGUGAAGAGGGAAACAACCCAGACCGCCAGCUAAGGUCCCAAAGUCAUGGUUAAGUGGGAAACGAUGUGGGAAGGCACAGACAGCCAGGAUGUUGGCUUAGAAGCAGCCAUCAUUUAAAGAAAGCGUAAUAGCUCACUGGUCGAGUCGGCCUGCGCGGAAGAUGUAACGGGGCUAAACCAUGCACCGAAGCUGCGGCAGCGACGCUUAUGCGUUGUUGGGUAGGGGAGCGUUCUGUAAGCCGUUGAAGGUGUGCUGUGAGGCAUGCUGGAGGUAUCAGAAGUGCGAAUGCUGACAUAAGUAACGAUAAAGCGGGUGAAAAGCCCGCUCGCCGGAAGACCAAGGGUUCCUGUCCAACGUUAAUCGGGGCAGGGUGAGUCGACCCCUAAGGCGAGGCCGAAAGGCGUAGUCGAUGGGAAACAGGUUAAUAUUCCUGUACUUGGUGUUACUGCGAAGGGGGGACGGAGAAGGCUAUGUUAGCCGGGCGACGGUUGUCCCGGUUUAAGCAUGUAGGCGGAGGUUCCAGGUAAAUCCGGUACCUUUUUAACGCUGAGGUGUGAUGACGAGGCACUACGGUGCUGAAGUAACAAAUGCCCUGCUUCCAGGAAAAGCCUCUAAGCAUCAGGUAACACGAAAUCGUACCCCAAACCGACACAGGUGGUCAGGUAGAGAAUACCAAGGCGCUUGAGAGAACUCGGGUGAAGGAACUAGGCAAAAUGGUGCCGUAACUUCGGGAGAAGGCACGCUGAUAUGUAGGUGAAGUCCCUGCGGAUGGAGCUGAAAUCAGUCGAAGAUACCAGCUGGCUGCAACUGUUUAUUAAAAACACAGCACUGUGCAAACACGAAAGUGGACGUAUACGGUGUGACGCCUGCCCGGUGCCGGAAGGUUAAUUGAUGGGGUUAGCGGCAACGCGAAGCUCUUGAUCGAAGCCCCGGUAAACGGCGGCCGUAACUAUAACGGUCCUAAGGUAGCGAAAUUCCUUGUCGGGUAAGUUCCGACCUGCACGAAUGGCGUAAUGAUGGCCAGGCUGUCUCCACCCGAGACUCAGUGAAAUUGAACUCGCUGUGAAGAUGCAGUGUACCCGCGGCAAGACGGAAAGACCCCGUGAACCUUUACUAUAGCUUGACACUGAACACUGGUCCUUGAUGUGUAGGAUAGGUGGGAGGCUUUGAAGCGUGGACGCCAGUCUGCGUGGAGCCAUCCUUGAAAUACCACCCUUUAAUGGCUGGUGUUCUAACGUUGACCCGUUACCCGGGUUGCGGACAGUGUCUGGUGGGUAGUUUGACUGGGGCGGUCUCCUCCCAAAGAGUAACGGAGGAGCACGAAGGUUAGCUAAUCCUGGUCGGACAUCAGGAGGUUAGUGCAAUGGCAUAAGCUAGCUUGACUGCGAGAGUGACGGCUCGAGCAGGUGCGAAAGCAGGUCAUAGUGAUCCGGUGGUUCUGAAUGGAAGGGCCAUCGCUCAACGGAUAAAAGGUACUCCGGGGAUAACAGGCUGAUACCGCCCAAGAGUUCAUAUCGACGGCGGUGUUUGGCACCUCGAUGUCGGCUCAUCACAUCCUGGGGCUGAAGUAGGUCCCAAGGGUAUGGCUGUUCGCCAUUUAAAGUGGUACGCGAGCUGGGUUUAGAACGUCGUGAGACAGUUCGGUCCCUAUCUGCCGUGGGCGCUGGAGAAUUGAGGGGGGCUGCUCCUAGUACGAGAGGACCGGAGUGGACGCAUCACUGGUGUUCGGGUUGUCAUGCCAAUGGCACUGCCCGGUAGCUAAAUGCGGAAGAGAUAAGUGCUGAAAGCAUCUAAGCACGAAACUUGCCCCGAGAUGAGUUCUCCCUGAGACUUUAAGUCUCCUGAAGGAACGUUGAAGACGACGACGUUGAUAGGUCGGGUGUGUAAGCGCAGCGAUGCGUUGAGCUAACCGAUACUAAUGAACCGUGAGGCUUAACCUU